rnacentral:lncRNA from 1 species
CCCGGCCCUGAGCACUGUCCCCGCCGGCCUGGUGCACCAUGUGCUGGAACCGCAGAUCUGCCCACUUUUACCAGACAGCAUUUUCCCGUGCCUGUAGUUUUUGCGCCACUCCCCUCAUUCACAAUGCCUCGGAAACUAGUAGCAGAGGUCUGGUGAAAAAUGCCCCGUUCCUCCAGGCCCUGGUGUGCGCACUUGUCCUCCAGGCGUCUUGUUGUCUUUCCAGUGCGUAUCCCAGGCUCUUUGGACCCCAGAGAAUCUGGGACAAGAUCGAUCUGCUAAGCACCUUCUUCACUUCAUUCUAGCGCCAGGAAUUCACCCUCUUCCAUGUUCACCAGCCAAACUCAAGGAGAAGUCUAUCUUCUCCCCACUGAGGAUCUGCCUGGGGCCGUGGCCUCUGGCCCAGCCCCUACAAGUCCACUGCUGAAAACAGGUGAAACCGUCCCCUGCUCCAUGUCACCUUGGCACUUUCCUGCGGCAUCAGCCCAGCUGAGGCCACUGCAUUAGAAAACCACUGAGAUGCAAGGCUUGGGACAUCUUGUCUGCAAAGGGAGGGUGUGGUGGAAGUUUUAUAUCAUUUAGGUUCUGGUUAUGCUCACCUGACUGGGGUUUGUGCAAUAAGGUUUGUGAACCCUUGAGGGUGCUUUUCCUUGUCUGCGGGCAUUAACUGUUCCCCAGUCUCUCCCAGCCUUGGCCUGCCCUUUGGGUCUAGGAAGGCCCCUGACCUGGCACAGUUUUUCCACUGAGGGUGCAGAGAGCCAGGUGGCUGCAUCCAGCCCAGCUGGGAGAACUGACUGUGGAGGGUGUGAUGUGACAGGAGAGGAAACUUUAUUGGACGUGGAUAUCUUUGCCUUCUGCUCCCCUCAGCGGCCCCCUACUUUCCCCACCUCCAGUCCCACCUGAACCCCGCCUUGCUGGGCACCGCCCUGUUACUUCUCACCGCUAAGCUUGCCUUCGGGUCUGCACACACUCGCAUUCUGUUUGCCAUUUUGUGUCUUAGAUGGUGCUUCCUCUGGGAAGCCUGACUGAUUCCCCUCUCCCCAGGACAGGCCUGGAUUCUCCGCCACCCACACCCGUGUGCUCCAGGGCACCCAGUACUUUUCCUCUUUGUCAUGACCGCUGCUAAUUUCCUUGAGUGAGGACUCCUGGAGAUCAGCACCCUUGGCAUUUGGGACAAAAAGUGCUCACCAACUACUUGUCAAAUAUGAACAUAUGAGCUUGAAACUUGAGCCCAGCUAAUGGAAUCUUCUGGUUCAUUCUGGAUUUGGGGUGAUAUGCAGUCUGGUGGGAAUCUCUCAUGGCACC